GACGAACGCUGGCGGCGUGCCUAAUACAUGCAAGUUGAGCGCUGAAGGUUGGUACUUGUACCAACUGGAUGAGCAGCGAACGGGUGAGUAACGCGUGGGGAAUCUGCCUUUGAGCGGGGGACAACAUUUGGAAACGAAUGCUAAUACCGCAUAAAAACUUUAAACACAAGUUUUAAGUUUGAAAGAUGCAAUUGCAUCACUCAAAGAUGAUCCCGCGUUGUAUUAGCUAGUUGGUGAGGUAAAGGCUCACCAAGGCGAUGAUACAUAGCCGACCUGAGAGGGUGAUCGGCCACAUUGGGACUGAGACACGGCCCAAACUCCUUCGGGAGGGAGCAGUAGGGAAUCUUCGGCAAUGGACGAAAGUCUGAACGAGCAACGCCGCGUGAGUGAAGAAGGUUUUCGGAUCGUAAAACUCUGUUGGUAGAGAAGAACGUUGGUGAGAGUGGAAAGCUCAUCAAGUGACGGUAACUACACAGAAAGGGACGGCUAACUACGUG
rnacentral:rRNA from 1 species